CCUACGGGUGGCAGCAGUGGGGAAUAUUGCACAAUGGGGGCAACCCUGAUGCAGCGACGCCGCGUGAGUGAAGAAGUAUUUCGGUAUGUAAAGCUCUGUCAGCAGGGAAGAAAAUGACGGUACCUGACCAAGAAGCCCCGGCUAACUACGGGCCAGCAGCCGCGGUACUACGUAGGGGGCAAGCGUUAUCCGGAGUUACUGGGCGUAAAGGGAGCGUAGACGGCAGGGCAAGUCUGGAGUGAAAGGCGGGGGCUCAACCCGCGGACUGCACUGGAAACUGCCAGGCUGGAGUGCAGGAGAGGUAAGUGGAAUUCCUGGUGUAGCGGUGAAAUGCGUAGAUAUUAGGAGGAACACCGGUGGCGAAGGCGGCUUACUGGACUGUAACUGACGUUGAGGCUCGAAAGCGUGGGUAGCAAACAGGAUUAGAUACCCCAGUAGUC
rnacentral:rRNA from 1 species